GCCUAAGAUUUAACGUUGAACACCAGACAGUCCUACACCAGCAUAUGCACUGGAGGUAGAAUCGGCUGGAGAGGAGGAAACUCAAGGCUUGAUCACUGACUGGCCACUGACUGCUUCAAAACAGAGGAGGCCUGAGAAGAUCCUUUGACAAAGUUGCCAACAAUUCAACACAGAUUAUGAAAAAUAGUGGUGGACUAGAGUGGCCUGCGAAGAACUGGAGCCUAAGAUUUAACGUCGAGCACUAGACAGUCCUACACCAGCAUAGACACUGGAGGUAGAAUCGGCUGGAGAGGAGGAAACUCAAGGCUUGAUCACUGACUGGCCACUGACUGCUUCAAAACAGAGGAGGUCUGAGAAGGUCUGGAUCCUCUAGAUUUGCCCUCAGAACCACCAGAAAAUCUGAUACUAUGUAGAAGCCCUCGGGAUAGAAGGCUGCUGUACAGAAAUCCGAAGACUUGGUCGUGUGGAUACUAACUUCUUUGAAAAGAUGGUUCUAGAUUAGUGGGUGCCUUAGGCCUCAAUUCAUUUUUUUUCCAUAGUUUUGGUACUGGGAUAAAAUUCUAGCCUUUACUAAUAUAUCUAAUUUGCUAAUAUAUCCUAAUUUGCUAUUGAUAGCAAAUGGAAACCAAAUGGUAAAUUCUUAGAUAAACUCACUCUUUUUCAGAUUGAGGAAAAAAGGUUCUUUUGGGAUUUUUUUUUCUCUCAACUUGGCAGGACUGGAGCAGAGUCAACUUGAAGCUUAUGGAGCAAUCCUGCCAUCCUGCGGACAAGUUUCACAAACCCCCUCAGAUACAUUAUUCCAUGCAAGUCUCUAGAAGUUCCUAGGAAGGCUGAAGCUAUGGGAACUGAUCCCAGACUCCACAAAUCUUUACAAUAUUUUCCUCUAUGAGUACCACGAAGCCUUAUGCACUAGUGUAGUCAGUCUUGACGUGUAACCUAGUGACAACGUGACCAGAACCAAGUGCACAGUUGCCUAGACAUGUAGGCAGAGGCUUUGGAGGGAGUGGAAAUUCAGGUGUUUUUUUUUAGAUUAAAAAAGUUUG